UCUUGGUCAUUUAGAGGAAGUAAAAGUCGUAACAAGUUUCCGUAGGUGAACCUGCGGAAGGAUCAUUAGUGAAUCUUCAAAGUCGCUCGUCGGAUUGUGCUGGUGGAGACACAUGUGCACGUCUUGCGAGUCGAAAUCCACACACCUGUGCAUCUAUGACUCUGAGCGCCGCUUUGCAUGGCUUUUGACCGAGGCCUGGCGCUCGAGUACUUUCACACACUCUCGAAUGUAUGGAAUGUCUUGUAGUGCUUAACGCACAGAAACGAAACAACUUUCAACACGGAUCUCUUGGCUCUCGCAUCGAUGAAGAACGCAGCGAAAUGCGAUAAUAAUGUGAAUUGCAGAAUUCAGUGAAUCAUCGAAUCUUUGAACGCACCUGCACCCUUUGGUAUUCCGAAGGGUACGCCCGUUUGAGUGUCAUUGUAAUUCACUAUGAUCGACUUUUGGUCUUUCUGUAUGUGGACUUGGAUGUUGCCUGGUCCGUCCUCGGCUCGUCUGAAAUGCUUCAGUGUACCCCGCUUUGCGCGUAUUCGGUGUGAUAACAUCUUCACCGGAGUUGAUCCUUUCGGGUCGCUCUGUAAGGGUGUGGCUCUAUGCUUCCAACCGUCCACCUAGUGGACAAUUCUGACAAUUUGACCUCAAAUCGGGUGGGACUACCCGCUGAACUUAAGCUAUCAAUAAGCGGAGGA
rnacentral:rRNA from 1 species